rnacentral:rRNA from 1 species
CUCAGGAUGAACGCUAGCGGCAGGCUUAACACAUGCAAGUCGAGGGGUAUAUUUCUUCGGAGAUAGAGACCGGCGCACGGGUGCGUAACGCGUAUGCAAUCUACCUUUUACAGAGGGAUAGCCCAGAGAAAUUUGGAUUAAUACCUCAUAGCAUUGCAGAAUGGCAUCAUUCAGCAAUUAAAGUCACAACGGUAAAAGAUGAGCAUGCGUCCCAUUAGCUAGUUGGUAAGGUAACGGCUUACCAAGGCUACGAUGGGUAGGGGUCCUGAGAGGGAGAUCCCCCACACUGGUACUGAGACACGGACCAGACUCCUACGGGAGGCAGCAGUGAGGAAUAUUGGACAAUGGGCGCAAGCCUGAUCCAGCCAUGCCGCGUGCAGGAUGACGGUCCUAUGGAUUGUAAACUGCUUUUAUACGAGAAGAAACACUGAUUCGUGAAUCAGCUUGACGGUAUCGU